AGCAGCCAUCACACUCUAUGCACUGUGGCUCAGUGUACCAGAGGUAGGAAUAAAGUGGCAAGCCAGAACUUCCUCCCAGAAUUACUUCUUGAGAAGUACUUUCCAUUCAAAAGAGAUACACCCCAUCUGCUCUAACAAAAUCAAAGUAACUAAGUUUACAGAUGAGUACAGCCUCCUUGGUCUGGAUUUCUGACUUUUUCACUCAUGAAAGAUGUAGUUCGUUCCUUGUACAAGCACAACAGCUACCUCUUAUAUAGCGCUUUUCAUCUUUUGACUUCAAGCCCUUUACAAAGUAAGAUGCUAUCCUGGUACCGAAAGGGAAGCAACAUAUCCAACAUCAUCCACUGUCAGCGGCUGGGAAUAGAACCCAGCUAUGGCUCUGCAUGCAAGUGCAGCAAAAUUUACACAGCAGACUUAUGCAGGGUUCUAACCCUGCUAACAGCAUGAGUCAACUGAAAAGCCGAGUUACCUGUUCCCACUGAUUUCAUUAAAUAUUGUGUAUGGACACCCA